CUCUCGCGACCUCACCCCCUCCCCUCUGUCCACCACCUCUCCCCCACGAUCUCCUCCCCGCAGGCACCACCCAUGCCGGCCAGUUCCGGCGAGCUCCGGCCACGCGCCACACGCCCAUCUCCUUUCCCGACACGCCUCUGCCCGCUCUACCAUCUCUGCCCGAUGGAUUUAACGCUCGCAGCCUCUCCGGCGUUCAAGCGCGACCCACCGGCUCCGGCGGCUAACCCUACAAGAGGCACUGCCGAUGGGGCGGCGGGGGUCGACCGGAAGGGCACGGGGACGCUGCCGCCCAAGGCCAUUCUUUUUCCUCCGGGCUCCGCGGGCAGCAGCAGCAGCCCCUCCGUCCACUGUGCUGCGGCAUUGAGAGCCGGGGCCUUCGCAGCUGGGGGAGCCGAGCUCUACGGCGGGCGGCGGGGAGGCGCGGGUGUUGUGGGACGGCCCCGUGGUGGCGGAGACGGUGGAGGCACCCAACGCGGCGGCGCAUCCGUUCGACCCCAAGCUGGUGUCCAGCCGGCCGCCGGCAAGCAGUUCAACUCAUUGCACACCGAAGAGGCGAUGUGUAGGAAUGUGGAAUUGUGAUCUCUAAGUCUGUUCAAAUCUUGGAGUUGUGGAUAAUUUAGUGGUAGAAACGGAAUCAAAUCUGGGCAAAUGUUAGGGACACUUUGACGAUUAGGCAUUUUCUGAUUAUUACUCGAGCUCUUCUUGCGGCCCGUUAUCAAAUUUAGAGGUUACUGUUAUACAUGGAAAUCUAAGUGCCUUUCAGGAGGAAAUACAAUCAGUUCACCAUGUUGUCCGCACUCUGGAUAUAAAGCUUGGACGCCUUGCAUAUACUCAAAUAAGAUCACACAACACGAGGAAUACAUGAGUUAUGUGAGUUCACUAAAAGAUUGGAUCGGAGUCCAAAAGCUGAUACUCUUAAGG